UGACCUCGGAUCAGGUAGGGAUACCCGCUGAACUUAAGCAUAUCAAUAAGCGGAGGAAAAGAAACCAACCGGGAUUGCCUCAGUAACGGCGAGUGAAGCGGCAAGAGCUCAAAUUUGAAAGCUGGCUCCUUCGGAGUCCGCAUUGUAAUUUGCAGAGGAUGCUUUGGGUGCGGCCCCCGUCUAAGUGCCCUGGAACGGGCCGUCAGAGAGGGUGAGAAUCCCGUCUUGGGCGGGGUGUCCGUGCCCGUGUAAAGCUCCUUCGACGAGUCGAGUUGUUUGGGAAUGCAGCUCUAAAUGGGUGGUAAAUUUCAUCUAAAGCUAAAAUACUGGCCGGAGACCGAUAGCGCACAAGUAGAGUGAUCGAAAGAUGAAAAGCACUUUGAAAAGAGAGUUAAAACAGCACGUGAAAUUGUUGAAAGGGAAGCGCUUGCAACCAGACUCGCCCGCGGGGUUCAGCCGGCAUUCGUGCCGGUGUACUUCCCCGUGGGCGGGCCAGCGUCGGUUUGGGCGGCCGGUCAAAGGCCCCUGGAAUGUAGUGCCCUCCGGGGCACCUUAUAGCCAGGGGUGCAAUGCGGCCAGCCUAGACCGAGGAACGCGCUUCGGCUCGGACGCUGGCAUAAUGGUUGUAAACGACCCGUCUUGAAACACGGACCAAGGAGUCUAACAUCUACGCGAGUGUUCGGGUGUCAAACCCGUGCGCGCAGUGAAAGCGAACGGAGGUGGGAGCCCCCUCGUGGGGCGCACCAUCGACCGAUCCUGAUGUCUUCGGAUGGAUUUGAGUAAGAGCGUAAAUGUGGGGACCCGAAAGAUGGUGAACUAUGCCUGAAUAGGGCGAAGCCAGAGGAAACUCUGGUGGAGGCUCGCAGCGGUUCUGACGUGCAAAUCGAUCGUCAAAUUUGGGUAUAGGGGCGAAAGACUAAUCGAACCAUCUAGUAGCUGGUUUCCUGCCGAAGUUUCCCUCAGGAUAGCAGUAACGUAUAAUCAGUUUUUAUGAGGUAAAGCGAAUGAUUAAGGCAUUGGGGGUUGAAACAACCCUUAACCUAUUC
rnacentral:ncRNA from 1 species